rnacentral:rRNA from 1 species
AGACCCGAAACCCGGUGAUCUAGCCAUGGGCAGGUUGAAGGUUGGGUAACACUAACUGGAGGACCGAACCGACUAAUGUUGAAAAAUUAGCGGAUGACCUGUGGCUGGGGGUGAAAGGCCAAUCAAACCGGGAGAUAGCUGGUUCUCCCCGAAAGCUAUUUAGGUAGCGCCUCGUGAAUUCAUCUCCGGGGGUAGAGCACUGUUUCGGCUAGGGGGCCAUCCCGGCUUACCAACCCGAUGCAAACUGCGAAUACCGGAGAAUGUUAUCACGGGAGACACACGGCGGGUGCUAACGUCCGUCGUGAAGAGGGAAACAACCCAGACCGCCAGCUAAGGUCCCAAAGUCAUGGUUAAGUGGGAAACGAUGUGGGAAGGCCCAGACAGCCAGGAUGUUGGCUUAGAAGCAGCCAUCAUUUAAAGAAAGCGUAAUAGCUCACUGGUCGAGUCGGCCUGCGCGGAAGAUGUAACGGGGCUAAACCAUGCACCGAAGCUGCGGCAGCGACGCUUAUGCGUUGUUGGGUAGGGGAGCGUUCUGUAAGCCUGCGAAGGUGGCCUGUGAGGGUUGCUGGAGGUAUCA